GUGAGGAAUAUUGCGCAAUGGAGGCAACUCUGACGCAGCCAUGCCGCGUGCAGGAAGAAGGCGCUACGCGUUGUAAACUGCUUUUAACCGGGAAGAAACCCCAGGACGUGUCCUGGGUUGACGGUACCGGAGGAAUAAGCACCGGCUAACUUCGUGCCAGCAGCCGCGGUAAUACGAAGGGUGCAAGCGUUAUCCGGAUUCAUUGGGUUUAAAGGGUGCGUAGGCGGACAGUUACGUCAGUGGUGAAAUCCUGCAGCUUAACUGUAGGCUUGCCAUUGAUACUGGCGCGCUUGAGUGCGCUUGAAGUGGGCGGAAUGUGCCGUGUAGCGGUGAAAUGCUUAGAUAUGGCACAGAACACCAAUUGCGAAGGCAGCUCACUAAGGCGAUACUGACGCUGAGGCACGAAAGCGUGGGGAUCGAACAGGAUUAGAUACCCGUGUAGUCC
rnacentral:rRNA from 1 species